rnacentral:rRNA from 1 species
UACGGAGGGUGCGAGCGUUAAUCGGAAUCACUGGGCGUAAAGCGCGCGUAGGCGGCUUUUCAAGUCAGGGGUGAAAUCCCACGGCCCAACCGUGGAACUGCCUUUGAAACUGUAGAGCUUGAGUGUCGGAGAGGGUGGCGGAAUUCCAGGUGUAGGAGUGAAAUCCGUAGAUAUCUGGAGGAACACCGGUGGCGAAGGCGGCCACCUGGACGACAACUGACGCUGAGGUGCGAAAGCGUGGGUAGCAAACAGG